UACGUAGGGGGCAAGCGUUGUCCGGAUUUAUUGGGCGUAAAGAGCGUGUAGGCGGCUGGGUAGGUCCGCUGUGAAAACUCGAGGCUUAACCUCGAGACGUCGGUGGAAACCAUCCAGCUAGAGUCCGGAAGAGGAGAGUGGAAUUCCUGGUGUAGCGGUGAAAUGCGCAGAUAUCAGGAAGAACACCCGUGGCGAAAGCGGCUCUCUGGGACGGUACUGACGCUGAGACGCGAAAAGCGUGGGGAGCAAACAGG
rnacentral:rRNA from 1 species